rnacentral:rRNA from 1 species
GACGAACGCUGGCGGCGUGCCUAAUACAUGCAAGUCGAACGCUGAAGCUUGGUGCUUGCACCGAGCGGAUGAGUUGCGAACGGGUGAGUAACGCGUAGGUAACCUGCCUGGUAGCGGGGGAUAACUAUUGGAAACGAUAGCUAAUACCGCAUAAGAGUAGAUGGUGCAUGACAUUUGCUUAAAAGGUGCAAUUGCAUCACUACCAGAUGGACCUGCGUUGUAUUAGCUAGUUGGUGAGGUAACGGCUCACCAAGGCAACGAUACAUAGCCGACCUGAGAGGGUGAUCGGCCACACUGGGACUGAGACACGGCCCAGACUCCUACGGGAGGCAGCAGUAGGGAAUCUUCGGCAAUGGACGGAAGGCUGAACGAGCAACGCCGCGGGAGUGAAGAAGGUUGUCGGAUCGGAAAGAUCUGUUGUAAGAGAAGAACGAGUGUGAGAGUGGAAAGUUCACACUGUGACGGUAUCUUACCAGAAAGGGACGGCUAACUACGUG